GUACUGAGACACGGACCAGACUCCUACGGGAGGCAGCAGUGAGGAAUAUUGGUCAAUGGGCGCAAGCCUGAACCAGCCAUGCCGCGUGCAGGAUGACGGUCCUAUGGAUUGUAAACUGCUUUUAUACAGGAAGAAACACUCGGACGUGUCCGAGCUUGACGGUACUGUAGGAAUAAGGAUCGGCUAACUCCGUGCCAGCAGCCGCGGUAAU
rnacentral:rRNA from 1 species